CGAUUUCUAAAGAUACAAAGCUUAAUGCAAAUGGGUGAAGUGUCACUUUAAAGAUGGGCCAGUACACACUUUAUUUGGACCAACUUGCUCCUCAGAAUCAAAACGGGUGUUUUGUGCUUUAAAUUGUGUACACCCAGUGCAGCUGCAGGUCUCUAGCUAACUCAUGUUAUUACUGUCUUAGUGAAAUAGUCUUGCUGCAAAUAAGUGGGCCGACUAUUACAUACAAUUGUGUCCAUUAAUGCAGAUUGUCUGUUGUUUUUACUACUUUGAGUUAUAAUAAAUGAUGGAGCAAGAUUUGUUUUGCAAACUUUAAUGUUACAUCAGUAAUUCAUGUUACUGCUCGUCUAACAUAUACAAUUAAUGAUACAUUUCCCGCAUGUGCACCGCAAUAAAUUGAAAUUUACACAUCUAUUUGUUGAUGAACAUACACUUGUUAAUUCUGAUGGUGAGGAAUUACAGAGAAACGUUGAAUAACUAGUUCUUCCAAUGUUUCAUCAUCAGACUCACACUCGGAUUGGCUUUAGGAAGCCUCCGGAGCUGAAGUUCAGUCACGUACUGGGCAUUUCAUUUCCAAAAUGCACUGUAAGCGGUAGACAAAUCACAACAGACUGGGCCGUCUGACCAAUCCGUACAGAGUAGGCUUUCGGAAAGGAGCGAUUUAAAGAGACUGAAUCAUCGGACGAGUCGCUUGAGAAUCAGUGAGAAAUGAGGUGAUGAAUGCAUAAUAUGAGAAAAUUAAAGUGUUUUUUAUACCGUUGAUGCAUGUUAACCUGCUAUAGGAGAUCUCCAAAACAAAAUUAGGAACCUUGGAAAUAGCAUAUAGGGGCAUGUUAAUAGGAACACCUGCUCACCUGCUCGUUAAUGCAAAUAUCUAAUUAGCUAAUCACAUGGCAACAACUCAAUGCAUUUAGGCAUGCAGACAUGGUCAAGACGAUCUGCUGAAGUUCAAGAGUCUGAAAGAAAGUCUGCUGAAGUUCAAAAGUCUCAAGAGCUGAAGCCUGAUCCAUUCAUCCAGUGUCGCAGUCACUGACAGGAUGAAGAUGCCGCCUUCUCGCACCAUUGGUUGGUCGGUCAUGAUGCUAUGGAUUCAUAUGUAAGGGAAACGCUUCAGAAGUGGAACCUUGAAACAUUAAUCGACAGAUUUGCAGACACUGCCAGCUGUCAAGGGCUACAAGAUGGUUCGGCCCUCUUAUCAGGAGGCAAAAAAAGCAUUUGUUGAUUUACAGCUUGUUGGAACAAACAUCAUUCAAUAUUUGGAGGAGGAGCAACGGAGGCAAUUCCCUCAUGUCCUGCAGCUUGGAGAUAAAUUCAACUGCUCAAAAGCCUUCGUCAUUGUGGGAGGAGUGGCACUAGCAAGACAGCCUUUUACAAGCUGUGGAUGCAUGCUUUAAAAUAUUUUAUGUUUUAGACAUAGAGUAUCCAAAUCCUGCGGCAUUUGUUUGGCAGUUUCUACAACACAAAAUAUAUUCUGUGCCAGGAGGACUUCCAUCAACUCACUGUCGCCUACUUAGGCAGUUUAUAAUUGGAUAAGCUGGAAAAGCUUUUUUUUUUUUUGUGCGUGUGUGUAUUUGUGUUUUUGUAUUCCAUGUUUCUUAGAACUUAAAACAUAUAAAAAAUAAAGUAAAUAAAUUAAUUUUAGAAUUAAUAUUCUGUGCCUGGAGGAGUUCCCUCAACACUGUCGCCUUAUGAGGCAGUUUAU